rnacentral:rRNA from 1 species
AACGCGAAGAACCUUACCAGCGUUUGACAUGGCAGGACGACUUCCAGAGAUGGAUUUCUUCCCUUCGGGGACCUGCACACAGGUGCUGCAUGGCUGUCGUCAGCUCGUGUCGUGAGAUGUUGGGUUAAGUCCCGCAACGAGCGCAACCCUCGACCUUAGUUGCCAUCAUUUAGUUGGGCACUUUAAGGUAACCGCCGGUGAUAAGCCGGAGGAAGGUGGGGAUGACGUCAAGUCCUCAUGGCCCUUACGCGCUGGGCUACACACGUGCUACAAUGGCGGUGACAGUGGGCAGCAAGCACGCGAGUGUGAGCUAAACUCCAAAAGCCGUCUCAGUUCGGAUUGUUCUCUGCAACUCGAGAGCAUGAAGGCGGAAUCGCUAGUAAUCGCGAUCAGCAUGCCG